rnacentral:rRNA from 1 species
GAUGAACGCUGGCGGCGUGCCUAAUACAUGCAAGUCGAGCGAACAGACGAGGAGCUUGCUCCUCUGACGUUAGCGGCGGACGGGUGAGUAACACGUGGAUAACCUACCUAUAAGACUGGGAUAACUUCGGGAAACCGGAGCUAAUACCGGAUAAUAUAUUGAACCGCAUGGUUCAAUAGUGAAAGACGGUUUUGCUGUCACUUAUAGAUGGAUCCGCGCCGCAUUGCUAGUUGGUAAGGUAACGGCUUACCAAGGCAACGAUGCGUAGCCGACCUGAGAGGGUGAUCGGCCACACUGGAACUGAGACACGGUCCAGACUCCUACGGGAGGCAGCAGUAGGGAAUCUUCCGCAAUGGGCGAAAGCCUGACGGAGCAACGCCGCGUGAGUGAUGAAGGUCUUCGGAUCGUAAAACUCUGUUAUUAGGGAAGAACAAAUGUGUAAGUAACUAUGCACGUCUUGACGGUACCUAAUCAGAAAGCCACGGCUAACUACGUU